rnacentral:rRNA from 1 species
GACGAACGCUGGCGGCGUGCUUAACACAUGCAAGUCGAACGGAAAGGCCCUGCUUUUGUGGGGUGCUCGAGUGGCGAACGGGUGAGUAACACGUGAGUAACCUGCCCUUCACUUUGGGAUAACUUCAGGAAACUGGGGCUAAUACCGGAUAGGAUCUCCCGCUGCAUGGUGGGGGUUGGAAAGUUUCGGCGGUUGGGGAUGGACUCGCGGCUUAUCAGUUUGUUGGUGGGGUAGUGGCUUACCAAGGCUUUGACGGGUAGCCGACAUGAGAGGGUGACCGGCCACAAUAAGACUGAGAUACGGCCCAGACUCCAACAUUAGACAACAGUGGGAAAUAUUACACAAUGAUAGGAAGCCUGAUGCAACAACGCCGCGUGCGGGAUGACGUCCUUCGGGUAGUAAACCGCAUUCGCCUAUUACGAAGCGUUAGUGACGGUAAUCAGUAAAGAAGCACCGGCUAACUACGUG